rnacentral:rRNA from 1 species
GCCUCCCGCCGCAGGCCCAUCCACAAACGCUCUGAAAAGCUCCGCGCUCCUUCUGAACUAGAAACUUUAAACGAGUAAAAACUUUUGGCAACGGAUCUCUUGGCUCUGGCAUCGAUGAAGAACGCAGCGAAAUGCGAUACGUAGUGUGAAUUGCAGAAUUCAGUGAACCAUCGAAUCUUUGAACGCACCUUGCGGCCGCCGGUAAUCCGGCGGCCAUGCCCGUCCGAGCGUCGUUUCGACCCUCGGUGCCCCUCCCUCUUGCAGGGCGGCGGCCCCGGCCUUGGGCCAGCGCGUGCCGCUCUCGAGCGCCGCGCGGUCCGCAGAACAGCGGCGGCAGCACCGGCGACGUCCCCUGCGCAGUAGCAUACACUCGCAUUGGUCUCCCGGCGCGGCCCGCCUCGAACCCCAAACUUCUUUAGGUCGACCUCGGAUCGGGUAGGGAUACCCGCUAAACUUAAGCAUAUCAGUCAGCGGAGGA